GGGCGUAAAGCGCACGUAGGCGGAUUGGAAAGUUGGGGGUGAAAUCCCAGGGCUCAACCCUGGAACUGCCUCCAAAACUAUCAGUCUAGAGUUCGAGAGAGGUGAGUGGAAUUCCAAGUGUAGAGGUGAAAUUCGUAGAUAUUCGGAAGAACACCAGUGGCGAAGGCGACUCGCUGGACAAGUAUUGACGCUGAGGUGCGAAAGCGUGGGGAGC
rnacentral:rRNA from 17 species